ensembl:lncRNA
CAGAAAUCAGACUGGUCUGUAAAGGUCUGAAGGGUUGAAGGGUUAAGUGAAUAGAGUCUUGUGUAAAGUCUCCAGCUUUGGUGGUGUGCAGGAAUGUGGCAGUGGCGAAGUCCUAAUCCCUGCAGCACGGCUCUCUCUCCUGGCUCCCAAAGCGGCUUGGCUUGGGCUGCCCCACGGGCUGCUAGCAAUGUUAAUAGCACAUUCCCUUGGAUCAGCGCCAGGAGCGCUCCUGGAACAAAACUGGGCAAAAACGCAAUCAGGCACAAACACUGGGUCAGCCAAUGGUCGACAAAAAAAAAAAUCACAGGAAAUUCUGGCCGUGCGUGGAACAUGACUGGUAUGUGUGUUGUGGUGUUCUUUUUGUGCUUGUUUGGUGAUUGAUUAAACAGUGUGUUUUCUCAUGCUGUUCAGUGGAGGUAUCAUUUGAAAAGUGAAAAGAAUGAAUAUAUUUUUUGGUGGAAAAAAACAAAAACAAAAACAAAGCACAGCUAACGUGCCGAUGCAAAAUGAAUGGUGACACUAUUGAGAGCCUGGUCUUGCCUAAGCUGGAUGGAACAGUCCUUUAGAAGGAGUGUCUGUUGUGUUGAGGGUGUCCCGCAGGAUCUGGCAUGUGGGCAGAAUGGAAAUGGCCAGAGGCCUUUGUGUGGCUGUCUGUGUUCAACCGCAGCCACUCGCUGGACUGGGUCAGGCCGAGGAUUUGAAAGAUGGGUAUCGCAAAAAAUGGCCUCCCUCAUCUCAUCCAGCUGGUUAAAUUCUAACCCUACAGUCCAUAAGGUAAGUAUAGCUUUUAUGAUGUGUUCCAUUUCCUUUAAACUUUUCUUCUAAAAAAACUCUUUCAGCCACUUACUCAUUACUUCCCUCUAAUAACAGGGUGGUAGAAGUACAUUUUGUCCUGUUCUUCUGUUGGAAUAUUAACCUAGUCAACUAUUUUAAAGAUGAGCAUCGACAAAAAAAAAACGACCUCCGCAUUGUCCAGCUGGUUAAAUCUUAAUCCUACAGUCCAUAAGGUUGGUAUAGCUUCUAUAAAGUACAGCAUUUGAGGUAGCAUCUACUGCACUACAGCGGGUGACAAUAGUUCAUAAGGCUGUUCCUACUGACUGCUGAUCUUCUGACCUUUUUUCCUCUGUUCUAUUUGCAGUUUUUCCUUUUUUUUUUUUUUACAUUUUUCUUCUUUUUCUUUACGAUUCUUUCACUUCCUCCAUAUUUUUCAAACUUCCCUCCUCAGAAAUAUUCUUAAAUUUCUCCAAAUGUCUUCAACUACCUCUUAAAUAGCCCUUGUAACAUGCUUAGUUCUAUACAGUAAAGCUUUAAUUGAUCUUUGCUUUUCAUUCUGAUUUCUGUUCAUUGUCUCAUUUCCUUACAUUUCCCUGCUUUUUCCUUAUUGUUCUUCCACUUCCACCAUUGCUUUCAAACUCUGCUCCUGAGGAAUUUUCUUACAUUUACAUCAACUAGCUCUUAUUUACCCCUCAUAACAAGGUGGUAGAAGUACUUUUUGUACUGUCCUGCUGUUGGAAUAUACAUCUAGUCAUCUUUUCAAAGAUGGGCAUUGUAAAAAAACUGAACUUCGUCUCAUCUAGCUGGUAAAAUCUUAACCCUACAGUAGAUAAGGUAGGUAAAGCUUCUUUAAAGCACAGUAUGCGAGGUAGCAUAGACUGCACUGCAGAUCUUAUAGAGGUCUACUGACUGCUGAUCUCCUGAUGUGCUUUCCCUUUAUUGUCCUUGUCUGAUUCUUCCACUUCCUCCAGUUCUUUUGAAACUUUGUUCUGAGAAUGUUUCCAAAUUCACCUUUUGAGAAGAGGGGGCAUUGUGAAAAACCAUUGUGAAA